CCCGAUGAUUGGAAGUGGAGUGAGCUGAUGCAUGAUGACCGACUUCCCUCUGAGG
rnacentral:snoRNA from 14 species